CCUACGGGAGGCAGCAGUGAGGAAUAUUGGUCAAUGGCCGGAAGGCUGAACCAGCCAUGCCGCGUGAAGGUCAGUGCCCUAUGGGCGUUAAACUUCUUUUGUCAGGGAGCAAUUGAGUCCACGUGUGGUCUUAGCGAGAGUACCUGAAGAAAAAGCAUCGGCUAACUCCGUGCCAGCAGCCGCGGUAAUACGGAGGAUGCGAGCGUUAUCCGGAUUUAUUGGGUUUAAAGGGUGCGUAGGCGGAAUAUCAAGUCAGCGGUAAAAAUUCGGGGCUCAACCCCGUCGUGCCGUUGAAACUGAUGUGCUUGAGUGGGCGAGAAGUACGCGGAAUGCGUGGUGUAGCGGUGAAAUGCAUAGAUAUCACGCAGAACUCCGAUUGCGAAGGCAGCAUACCGGCGCCCAACUGACGCUGAAGCACGAAAGCGUGGGUAUCGAACAGGAUUAGAUACCCCUGUAGUC
rnacentral:rRNA from 1 species